rnacentral:rRNA from 1 species
GGACCCGCACAAGCGGUGGAGCAUGUGGUUUAAUUCGAUGCAACGCGAAAAAACCUUACCUACUCUUGACAUACUUGGGAGCUCUUGUAAUGAGAGUGUGCCUUUUGGAACCAAGAUACAGUAUGCUGCGAUGGCUGUCGUCAGCUCGUGUCGUGAGAUGUUCCGUUAAGUCGGAUAACGAGCGCAACCCUUACCCUUAUUUGCCAGCGAUUCGGUCGGGAACUAUAAGGGGACUGCCGGUGAUAAACCGGAGGAAGGUGAGGACGACGUCAAGUCAUCAUGGCCCUUACGAGUAGGGCUACACACGUGCUACAAUGGGGAAUACAGACGGACGCUAAGCCGCGAGGUGGUG